AGAGCAUCCACUGCUGACUUCACAACAGGACUGAGCGGCUACACACAAGCUACUAGCAUUGAUCAAUUUGACUGGACGAGAAAACGUGGAUCAACAUUCAGGGAGGGCACAGGUCCCGUGUCAGAUCGUUCAAAUAUGGCUGGUCACUACCUGUAUAUCGAGGCCACUCAUCCAAGGCCUGAUGAAAAUGCCAUUAUCUACUCACCACAUUACACCACAUUACACCCAAAUGUCUGUACCUUCUCUUUCUGGUACCACAUGUACGGUGACGACAUCGUUACGCUGAACGUCUACGUGGAGACUUCCACUGCAAAUGUCAGGGUCUUCACGCAAAGCGGAAACAAGGGUAACAAUUGGCUCCACGCACGAGUGCUCUUGAACACUGUCCCAGCAGUUACAUCUGGUCCAUUCCAGCUUUCAUUUGAAGGCAUUCGUGGACAUGGGUCUCAUGGUGACAUUGCUAUCGAUGACAUAGGCUUAGAAGACGACUGCUGUUCUGGAAGCACAUCUA